UGGGGAGGCAGGGUUGCCCGGUAGGUGGGGCCUUGGGGAGGCAGGGUUACCCAGAAGGUGGGGCCCUGGGGAGGCAGGACCCUGGGAAGGUGUGAUCACAGCAGAGAUGGGGCCCUGGAGUGAUGGGGUCACUGAGGAGGUGGAGAUCCCCGGGAGGUGGAGCCAGAGAGAGAGCAGAGCCUUGGUCCUGGCAGCAAGCGGCUGGGCAUCGAUGGCGACCGGGAGGCUGUUCCUCUAACACUACAGAUUAUUUACAGCAAGGGGGCCAUCAGUGGACGAAGCCGCUGGAGCAACCUGGAGAAGGUCUGUACCUCCGUGAACCUCAACAAGGCCUGCCGGAAGCAGGAGGAGCUGGGUGAGUGGCGUGGUCAGGGUGGGGUGGGCAGUAGGGAGGUGCUCUGAGCCUGGCCUGAGUGUCCCUGCCCUUCAGAUUCCAGCAUGGAGGCCCUGACGCUAAACCUGACAGAAGUGGUAAAAAGGCAGAACUCCAAAUCCAAGAAGGGCUUUAACCAGAUUAGCACAUCGCAGAUCAAAGUGGACAAGGUGCAGAUCAUCGGCUCCAACAGCUGCCCCUUUGCUGUAUGCCUGGACCAGGAUGAGAGAAAGAUCCUGCAGAGUGUAGUCAGAUGUGAGGUCUCACCAUGCUACAAGCCGGAGAAGAGCAACCUCUGCUCGCCACCCCAGACGCCUCCUGACCUGCCGGCCCAGGCCGCGCCUGAUCUCUGCUCCCUUCUCUGCCUGCCCAUCAUGACUUUCAGUGGAGCUCUGCCCU
rnacentral:sRNA from 1 species